UGGGGAAUAUUGCACAAUGGGCGCAAGCCUGAUGCAGCCAUGCCGCGUGUAUGAAGAAGGCCUUCGGGUUGUAAAGUACUUUCAGUCGGGAGGAAGGUGUCAAGGUUAAUAACCUUGGCAAUUGACGUUACCGACAGAAGAAGCACCGGCUAACUCCGUGCCAGCAGCCGCGGUAAUACGGAGGGUGCAAGCGUUAAUCGGAAUUACUGGGCGUAAAGCGCACGCAGGCGGUUGAUUGAGUCAGAUGUGAAAUCCCCGGGCUUAACCCGGGAAUUGCAUCUGAUACUGGUCAGCUAUAGUCUUGUAGAGGGGGGUAGAAUUCCAUGUGUAGCGGUGAAAUGCGUAGAGAUGUGGAGAAAUACCGGUGGCGAAGGCGGCCCCCUGGACAAAGACUGACGCUCAGGUGCGAAAGCGUGGGGAGCAAACAGG
rnacentral:rRNA from 1 species